UACGUAGGGUGCGAGCGUUAAUCGGAAUUACUGGGCGUAAAGCGUGCGCAGGCGGCUUUGCAAGACAGAUAUGAAAUCCCCGGGCUCAACCUGGGAACUGCAUUUGUGACUGCAAGGCUAGAGUACGGCAGAGGGGGAUGGAAUUCCGCGUGUAGCAGUGAAAUGCGUAGAUAUGCGGAGGAACACCAAUGGCGAAGGCAAUCCCCUGGGCCUGUACUGACGCUCAUGCACGAAAGCGUGGGGAGCAAACAGG
rnacentral:rRNA from 1 species